rnacentral:rRNA from 1 species
UACGUAGGCGGCUAGAAAAGUUAGAAGUCAAAGGCUAUAGCUCAACUAUAGUAAGCUUCUAAAACUAUUUAGCUUGAGAAAUGGAAGGGAAAGUGGAAUUCCUAGUGUAGCGGUGGAAUGCGCAGAUAUUAGGAAGAAUACCGGUGGCGAAGGCGACUUUCUGGCCAUUAUCUGACGCUGAGGUACGAAAGCGUGGGUAGCAAACA